GACGAACCGAGCGAACGUUGUUCGGAAUCACUGGGCUUAAAGGGCGCGUAGGCGGGCUGCCAAGUUUGGGGUGAAAUCCUCCGGCUCAACCGGGGAAGGGCCUCGAAUACUGGCGGUCUGGAGGGAGGUAGGGGCGUGCGGAACUGUAGGUGGAGCGGUGAAAUGCGUUGAUAUCGUAAGGAAGACCAGUGGCGAAGGCGGGUCUCUGGACAGUUCCUGACGCUGAGGCACGAAGGUCAGGGGAGCAAACGGG
rnacentral:rRNA from 1 species